CCUACGGGUGGCAGCAGUGAGGAAUAUUGGUCAAUGGACGCAAGUCUGAACCAGCCAUGCCGCGUGCAGGAUGACGGCUCUAUGAGUUGUAAACUGCUUUUGUACGAGGGUAAACCCCGAUACGUGUAUCGGGUUGAAAGUAUCGUACGAAUAAGGAUCGGCUAACUCCGUGCCAGCAGCCGCGGUAAUACGGAGGAUCCGAGCGUCAUCCGGAUUUAUUGGGUUUAAAGGGAGCGUAGGCGGGAUGCCAAGUCAGCGGUAAAAAUGCGGUGCUCAACGCCGUCGAGCCGUUGAAACUGGCGUUCUUGAGUGGGCGAGAAGUAUGCGGAAUGCGUGGUGUAGCGGUGAAAUGCAUAGAUAUCACGCAGAACUCCGAUUGCGAAGGCAGCAUACCGGCGCCCUACUGACGCUGAGGCACGAAAGCGUGGGUAUCGAACAGGAUUAGAUACCCGAGUAGUC
rnacentral:rRNA from 1 species